CCUACGGGAGGCAGCAGUGAGGAAUAUUGGUCAAUGGCCGAGAGGCUGAACCAGCCAAGUCGCGUGAGGGAAGACGGCCCUACGGGUUGUAAACCUCUUUUGUCGGGGAGCAAAGCGAGUCACGUGUGACUCUUUGAGAGUACUCGAUGAAAAAGCAUCGGCUAACUCCGUGCCAGCAGCCGCGGUAAUACGGAGGAUGCGAGCGUUCUCCGGAUUUAUUGGGUUUAAAGGGUGCGCAGGCGGUGGUGAAAGUCAUCGGUCAAAUUGCGGGGCUCAACCCCGUACUGCCGUUGAUACUGGAACCCUUGAGUGCGCGAGAAGUAGGCGGAAUGCGUGGUGUAGCGGUGAAAUGCAUAGAUAUCACGAAGAACUCCGAUUGCGAAGGCAGCAUACCGGCGCGCAACUGACGCUCAUGCACGAAAGCGUGGGUAUCGAACAGGAUUAGAUACCCCUGUAGUC
rnacentral:rRNA from 1 species